UGGCCGCGCCCCCUGCCGCCGCUCGCCUUGGGUGGAGGGAAGGGAGGAGGGCAGGACCCUGGGCCUGGCAGGGCGGGCCGUCUGGGGACGCGAGGCGCCCUGCUGGGGCUCUGCUCGCCUCGCCUCUGGCCACCCCAGGGAAUGCCAGGAGGAGAGCGACCGCUGAGGGAGUCCGGCCCCGGCCCCGGCCCGGCCCCGGCCCCGAUACCACCCGGCCCAGCGUGCGGGUGCGGGAGAGCGAGCGAGCGCGAAUGAAAAAAGGCCGGCCACACGUCCAGCGGAGGGAAGCCUUCUGCCCAAGAGCUUUCUUUUCAUGGUAGAAACCCAAGGCGGCUUACAUAUGGUUCCCAGGCGGUCCCCCAUCCAGGCACUGACCAGACCAGGAAGCCGGCCUUAUGUGCCUUCAGACCAUCGCCUCUUUCCACCCCAGUUAGGCUUGCAUCAUCUGGUUCCAACGGAGAGUUCCUCAGCAAUGUCUUCCUUGAUUUUGUGCAUACGUGACUGUCAUGUGGAUGAAGAUGCACCUGUUUAUGCAGGCCGCCUUGAUCUCCCUCCCUGUUUUAAUUGUUGCUUUAAUGGGAUUGUUUCAUUGCUUAUUUCAAUCGCAGAUGUCUAUAUCUUAAUGGGGUUGUUUUACUGUGUUUUUAAUUAUGGAUGUUUGUAGCUUAAUGUUUUAAUUGGGUUGUUUUAGUGUGUAUUUUUAAUGAUGGAUGUUUAUAGUUUAAUGUUUUUGUCACUGGCUUUUAUAACUUUAAAUUGCUUAGAAACCUAUUUUGGCAUUAAGUGGUCCAUAAAUUUAUUAAUAGUAGGUUGUGACUAAUGUUCACAGCCUUAGAGUAGACCCAUUGAAAUUUCUUUCUUUCUUUCUUUCUUUCUUUCUUUCUUUCUUUCUUUCUUUCUUUCUUUCUUUCUUUUCUUUAUAUCCCACCUUUCCUCCAAGGAGCUCAAGGGAUGUACAAACAUGGUUCUCCCCCCCCAUUUUAUCCUCACAACAACCCUCUGAGGUAGGAUAGGCUGAGAGUCAAGGUGAGCUACAUGGCCAAGUUGGGAUUUGAACACUGGUCUCCUAGGUCCCAGUCUGAAACUCUAACCACUAUGUCACUCUGGCUCCUAAUCAAAGGACAUAACUAAUUAAUUAAUUUAAAUGGAUCUGCUCCAAGUAAAACUUACUGGAUACAACAACAAUAAUAAUCCAGACGAGACAGGCAUCCAUUGCUGUUUUUUUGCAGAACUGAUGCCUGUGCACUGAGAGGAACUCAUAGGGGAGAGCAAGAGCAUCUCAUUAUAUUUGGCAAACGCUGCCUCACCUCAUCUUCCCCAGUCAAGGUGCAGAAUCUGCAAGGCCAGCCAAGUUAUUACAGGACCUGCAGCAGAAAAUCCCACAGCUGGCUCUCCCCAGGCAUAAGAAUAUAAUGAUGAUAAAUUAAACUUGCCCCUUCAAGACACCCCCAAAUCCAAAGCCUGAGGCAGCUGCCUAGCUCUGCCUAAGUGUGAGGCUGGCUCUCUCUUCCAGAGGUCCUGGAAACACCCCACAGAUGAGGCUUGAGGGUUUUCUCCAGCGGCCAGCUGGUCUCCCCAUCUCCACAUGGUCAGAGCAGAUCCAUUUCCCGACGUGGUAACUGGGGCCAGUCUCUUUCCCAGAUGAAUCAAAACACUCCCACCCGGUGCCCAAAUACCUCUAAGGCCAGCCUUCCCCAGCCUGGUGCCCUCCAGCUGUUUUGGACUACAACUCCCAUCAGCUGCAGCCGACACAGCCCAACUCUCGCCAGCCCCAGCUUCCGACUACAGACUUGCUGGGUGAUGGAUGUUGGAGUCCAGCAACAUCUGCAGGGCAUCAGGUUGGUGAAAGCUGAACUCGGGCAGUGGUAGCUAACCAGGUUGCCCUCCAGACAUUGUGGGCUACAACUCCGAUCAUCCCUGGAUCAAUGGCCAUGCAAGCUGGGGCUGAUGGGAGUUGAAGGGCACCUCGUUGGCUACUCCUGAACCAAGGCCUAGAUUUCUCUCUCUCUCUCUCUCUCUCUCUCUCUCUCUCUGAGUCCCUGCUCCCAAAAAAGUAAGGGGUCUAAGACCCCUGGAGACUCUGGACAACUGCACCCCUGCUCUCUGACCAGUCCAAGAUUUUUGCUUCAGAGUAGCCUUCUCCACCAGACCCAGUCAACAAGGCCGUGAUGGCAGGUGUGUAGUUGUCCGAGGUCUCAGGGGUCUUACACCCUAUGUCUCCAGCAUCCUACGAGCCAAUCACCAUAAAAGGGGAAUGUGUUGGCCUUUGAGAAGAGUCUUCUAACAAGCUUCCUUGUUCUUUCUUGCUGAUUGGAGCCAAUCAGAGUGAAAGGAGGUGAGUUGGCCACUGAGAAGACUCUUUUUAGUAGUUAACACACUCCCUUUUUGUGCUGAUUGGCUCUUGCAGAUGUCUGUUAUUGUGGAAGGCGGCAUUAAAACAAUGAUCUCAUUCAGCAAAAAUGUAUUUUUAUAUUACAAAGUUCUGGCACCAGGUCAUUAGCAGACAAACUGGACCAGGAAGGGGGUUGCUGUUAAGCAGCCUUGCUUUUCCCCUCUUGAAAUGGUCACUAGCUGGCCUGGUACUUGCUCCCUUUUCCUCAUAUGGGCCGGUAUCCUGAAACUGUGAGCUUGAAGGCCAGGUUGUUUGUGUUGUCAAUCUACAUAAGGUAUUGGUAUCGGUUGCUGCAGUUUUGCUUCCUGAGAAUCUCAGCAUUCUUUUUUUAAAAACAAAAUCAAGUCUCUAGUCCUCAUGCAUUAUGAAGCUAUGCUUGAAUGCCUGCGGGUGGUGUCUGGUGGUGACUCCUCAGAAGCCAGAAUGGGAGUUAGGUGGUGGGGUGGAUAAGAGUGCAGUGGCCCACACUCAUUAAUAGUUCCUUGCACCCACACCCAUGGGAAGGCACCCACACCCAUUCAUUGCUCCUUGCUAGCUGAGUUGCCCUAUUUUGUAAUGCUGUCUGGAUGCCCCUCUCCACGGGAGAUGAACUCUGAACUAUGGCACUUCGACAGAUGAGAAAUGGACAAGAAGUCUCAGCAAGACAAAGGAGAUGUAUGAUAGCUUUGUAAUAUUUCAUUUAUUUAUAGAUGCACAAGCAAAGCCUCAAAGGAAGCAAACAGGCACUCCUACUGCGGACAACUCUUGCAUCCGGCCUGUCCCCCACUCUGCCCCCCAAACUCACCUCUCUUUCUCUCUCUAAGCUGACAAAUGUUGGAAGUGGGGCAAGAGCAACUCCUGUUUUGUUAUUUUAUGUUCCAAAAGGGAGAUAGAGUGAGGGUCCUCCAGAUGGCUAUACUUGACUACCUUUACCUGCGAUGCUCUGACUGGCUUCCUUCUGUCAUUAGACUGAUAUGCUUAGGGAGGCUUAUCUGCCUCCCCUUCUGCCCUUUCCUCUCUUCUCUAGUUGUUCAACUGUCGAGAGGAGACACCUUUGUCUCUGCUCUAUGAGGGCAACCCCCAAGCCUGGGCCUUGCGCCUCCAACUUAGUUAAUUAGAACUAGGUAGGCCUUUCCUAUCUCCUACGCAUUUCUAUAAAUAAAGUAGCUUUUCUUAUUUUAUUAAGUCUUAAGUCUCAGUGAUCCUAAUGCAGGGUAAAAGCCCGCCACUUAGGUAAACGCACAUCUCGGACCGUUGACAAUCUGCUCAUUUAUACAAAUUUACAUAACAACAAACUGCUUCGGACUUGCUCUUCUGCCCUAUUCCCCACUAGUGAAAGAUCAGAUGAUCAGCCCGGCCUAUGAGCAAGUUAUUGCCCCCUCCAAGGAUGCUCAUCCGUCACCACCCAUAUAACAAUUGCCAACAUGGAACCUCCAUGUUUAGAGGCAAUCUACCUCUGCGUACCAUCUGCUGGGAAAGAACAGCAGGCGAGGGGCUUAGUGGAAGCACCCGGUUGUUCACGCUUUGAAAGAUGAUGUUAGACAGGCUAGGCCUUUGGUCUGGUCUAGCAGGGCAAUUCUGAUAUUCUUUUCUGCCCUUUCCCUAAUGUUGUCUGUCCAAGGACAGUGAGGUUGGGGUUUUUUUGGUCAAUGGAAAUUAAAACUUAAAAUAAAAUAAGAGGAAUGGUCACAGCCUGUUUGAUCCUUUUGCCGUUUUUCUUGAGAGAUUACUGCAUUUCAGAGGCCACUAGAUGAAUCACCCUUUUUAUUGGGGUGUGGAAGUUACCCUGCCAUAGGACAGAGUAAGCGACUGGUACCAAGGCAAAUAAUUUCGGAAUGCAAAUGAUUAAGUGGUAUAUACAUUUUAAAAAGUUUGGGUCCAUCUAGGUGAGUAUCAGCCACUUCCAGAUGUUGCUGGAUCCCAACUCCGAUCAGCCUGGCAGCCAGCAUGUCUAAUGGUCAGGGGUGAUGGGGGUUGGAGUCCAGCAGCUUCUGGAGGGAUGCAGAUUCCCCAACCCCGAUCUACACUGACUGGCAGCAGCUCUUCAAGGUCCCACAAAAAGGGCCCGGGGGCUGAUUCAUCCCAGAGGGGGCCCAUCCUAAUCCAGCAUUUUGUUCUCACAGUGGCCAACCAGAUGCCCCCCAUGGGAAGCCCCCAAGCAGGACUCUCCCCAUUUGUGACCCCCAGCAACUGGAGUGCACAGGCACCCUACCCCCAACAGUGGAGGCAGAACAUAGCCAUGGUCAUAGUGGGCUCUCUGACACUGGAGGCCUUCAAGAGGCAGCUGGACAGCCAUCUGUUGGGAAUGCUUUGAUCUGGAUUCCUGCAUUGUGCAGGGGGUUGGACUUGAUGGCCUUACAGGCCCCUUCCAACUCUACUAUUCUAUGAUUCUAUGGUGGCUAGUAGCCAAUGAUAGCCCUCUCCUCCAUGAAUAAGACAGGAGUCUUGCCCAGCCCAGCCUGCCAGGGCUUGAACCUUGGACCUUCUGCAUGCAGAGCAGGGGCUCUCCCACUCCGCCAUGACCCCAGGGGUGGGCCAGGAUCUACGGUCGCAUUCACACGUGACCCAUGGCAACUUGGUGUUAAGUUGUUGUCGUUGGCUGAAGGUUAUAGAGGUGGCUGUGGUUUCUCUGGGAUGCCUGGAAGAGAUGGAGGGAGUCAGUUCUGGAUGACACUGCACCUCCUUCCCUGUUGGAACAAGACAGCAAUGCUUGCAGUUACUUACCUGAGCCAGUGGGGGGCAGAAGACAGAAAGGGUCAUGUUUGUGUCCCUCUCAUUGACCUUCUUGUAACCUUUGUUUCUUUGUUUUUGAGCAGCUCUUCUUCCUUCUCCCUGGACGUGUGAUGUAAGUUGAUAGUGAAUAAACCUUGUUUUUUCUUUCUCACCUUUA